ensembl:lincRNA
CCUUCCCAGCCUGUUGGUCCUCCUCUUCCUUUCCUGCUGCCCCCUCUCAAGUUCUAAGGCUUUGUUAUGACAGAUUCCAGAACUUCCGUGGACUAUAUUCCCUUUGUCUGCUUAAUUCUGAUAAACCUGAGUUACACAGUUCCUCAGAGACCCUCUGCAUCUUUGUCUACGAGGGCCUCCCUGACACCCAAGUUCAUACUGCUCAGAAACAGUAAGCUUGAGUUGUUUUAUCUUGGCCUCCCUCUGACAAAGGAAUCCAGAUGACGUGGAACCCACUGAAGGCAGUACCUGGAAAAUGGCAGUCCUGGAAAUAACUCUGGCCAUCAUCCUGACUCUGCUGGCACUUGCCAUUCUGGCCAUUUUGUUAACAAGAUGGACGCGACGCAGGCAAAAUGAAAUGUAUAUGUCCAGAUACAGUUCAGAACAAAGUUUUAGGCUUCUGGACUAUGAAGACGGCACAGGUUCAUCCUCUAGGAGACCUAAAAAAGGAAGAGGAUGCCGGCAACCAUAUUUAACAGAAAGUGAAGACUCCAGAGGAAAAUACACACCAUCAGCCAGCUCCGGAGGACUAUCUCGGUCAAGUAUUGCACUAUCUCGAUCAAAUACUGGUGAGGCACAGCAUUUAAAAGCAACUCAACCUCUAUCCAGCACUCCAGGAUCUAUCACUGGAGCUAUUGGACCUAUAAUGCAAUUCUCAGCACCUAUCCCUGGAGCUACUGGACCUAUCAAGCUCUCUCAAAAAACCAUUGAUGGAAAGACCAAGUGCUUCCGCUGCCUCAUUAUCCCACCCAGAACUCCCAUAGGUUGGAGUCACCCAGGUGCUACAACAAACAGAUAAUAACUAUGAAGCUGAAAUACAAAAUGAAAAAAUAAUCCCCUACAGGCAUGGUCCUUCCUGAGCUAUUCCCAUUUAGUUUUUCAGAGCCAAUAAUUAAUAAAGAUUUAGAAUACUGCACCUAAACUUGAUUUAUGUGCAAAUAUUUUUUUCACUACUAGAUUAUCUUUACUUUGUAAAAUAAUGCAAAUUUUAAGUGUCUUUUCAUUUGUAAUUUUUCUAAAAAGUUUUCUCCUUAACAGGUAGGUUUUAUUCUCACCAACUUUUAAUAACUUGCCCUACUACAUUUUUCCAUAGAAAUGUUAUAAAUAAUGGUUAGACUGCAAAUUGCAGUUGUUCAUAAUUAUUUUGUUGGAUCUACCCAAUAUUCCAAUACUGAGGGAAGACAGGUGUAUACUCUAAAUACACUCAUAUUUAGAGUAAUGAACAAUGAAGUUGGGAUUGAAGUUUUACUGUUAGUUUUGUCCGCUAUCACUUUUGAGCAUUACAGUGAGCUAGUAACAGUGAAUAGAAUAAUGUUGGAAUUCAAAAAGGAAAAAAGGCCUAGGGGGGUUGGGGAUAUAACUCAGUGGCACAGCACCUGCCUGGCAAGCAUAAGGUCCUGAGUUUGAUUUCUGGCACCAAAAAAAAAAAAAAGAAAAAAACAAAAAGGCCUAAGGGAAAAAAAGUAAGAGAAAAGCAACACGAAAUGUAAGACAGAAAAUGAAGAUGCUGGUUAAAGCGAGAAAACACGAAGGAAAUAAAAAAUUAAAAAUGAGUCAGAUGUGGUUAACCAUGCCUGUAAUUCCACCACUCUGGGAAGCUGAAGCAGGAAGAUCACAAGCUUGAGUCCAGCCUGGGCAUUUUAGCAACUUAGUUAAACCCUGUUUCAAAAUUUAAAAGAAAAAAAAAAAAAUUAAAAGGGCUGGGAAUGUAGCUCAGUGCAAAGGCCCUAGGUUCAAUCCCCAAUACCACAGCGGGCUUGGUGGGGUGGCUGGAAGAAGAAGAAUCACAUGGAUUGGCAAACAGGAGGAGAAAAAAUAAAGGAAGAGUAAAUGAAUAUAAACCUGAGAAAAAUAAUUAAGAAAAAGUGUACAAAAAGUCACACAUUCAGAACGGAAAGGGAAGAAGAAAAUAUAGGAAAUGUAAGAAAACCGGAAAAAAACAACUUGAAGUCCAAAGCUACUGACUUAUAUUGAGAGGGCAGCUACCUAAGAGCUCAAGGGCAUAUAUUUAUAGAUAAUAUUUGUAGAUAAAGCCAAAACAAAUAUUAUUUUGCAAAAGAGCUAAAUUUCUACCUUGGCUACUGCUCUUAGCCCAAUAUACGCAGAUCUGGAAAAACACUUUCUGGCUGUUUUACACAGGAAAAAAAAUUGCCAUUGAAGGUUUAAGGGUUAUGCAUCAGAUCUGGUGGAGUUUCCAUCUU